UCCUAUGGAGACAGCUCUUGUUCUGUCAUCAAAUGAAAAUCGAGGCUAUCCUUUUUGGACAAAGUCAGUGUGUAUGUAAAAAAACAUCAGAACAAGUAGUAGAAACCCUAAGUUUCUGUUUUUUGAAACAUAUUUUCCUUCCUAUACAAGAAGUAUAUAGAUCACCCAUGACAUAUUUCCAUUCAUCAGCUCUUUCAACAAUUUCUAUCCAGUUCAAAUGAAACUUGGCAUACUUCAUCAGCAUGAAAUGAAUAUGUGCACACUGAUGGGACUUAUUUGUCUGAUUUUUUUUUCUUGAAUUAUGCCCCUUUUUUGAACUUAUAUUAUUCUAUCAAGCAUUUUCAGGGGUCGUGUGUCAUACAAUAUUGACAUAAUUCUUUUGUUGGUGUGUUUUACCUAUUUCUAAAGGUAGCACCAACAGCUGGUGUAAAAUUUGUCAUAAAACAUUUACAUAAAAAUAAGUAUCAAAUAAUUUUAAAAUUUCGCACUAAAUUUCCAUAACAUUAAAGUUGCCAACUUACACUUUACCUUCAUGUUAUAUAUUGAUGUUUUUCAUACAUUUACAGAUAACAUGAAUAAACAGUUUUCAACAAUCACAGUUGUGGUGAUUUUACAAAUUUUGGACAGAAAGGCAUAAAGAAAAUUGCAUAAAUAUAUGCUUGUUUGUAUUAGUUUAUUUACUCAUUAUUUAUUAUCAUUACUAUUUAUUUUGGAACCUCAUUAUCAAAUUUUUGGUUCUUUUUCAGCUGUGUUGAUCUGGUUGACAAGGCUACAAUGCUAAAUGUUGAAGAACAACCAAGCUUGCUUGUACUACAGCAGUAUACUUUGGCAGGUCAUGGCAAAAAUCGGGAAAAAUUUGUCGCCACUGAAAUAUGUAUUUGACUGCAAGAUUAGGACACCUUCAGCGGGUAGAAUUACUUGCGGCCAGCCCCCUGGAGGAGCAAGACCCCCCGAAGUGUCAAAAUAUCAAAAAUAGCGGUAUGCGGGAGACAAUUUACAGACAGAUAGUAUCACGAAAAACUCUCAAAACAAAAGAACUAACAUCCAUCAAAUGUUCUGCCUGUUUUGUGUGGUCCAUAUUUUAGGCAGCUGUACAGAAGUAUUUGACCCCCCCCCCCCCCCCCCCCCA
rnacentral:lncRNA from 1 species